UACGUAGGGUGCAAGCGUUGUCCGGAAUUAUUGGGCGUAAAGAGCUCGUAGGCGGUCUGUCGCGUCGGAUGUGAAAAUCCAGGGCUCAACCCUGGACCUGCAUUCGAUACGGGCAGACUAGAGUUCGGCAGGGGAGACUGGAAUUCCUGGUGUAGCGGUGAAAUGCGCAGAUAUCAGGAGGAACACCCGUAGCGAAGGCGGCACACUGGGCCGGUACUGACGCUGAGGAGCGAAAGCGUGGGGAGCAAACAGG
rnacentral:rRNA from 1 species